CUACGGGGUGCUGCAGUGGGGAAUAUUGGACAAUGGGGGAAACCCUGAUCCAGCAAUGCCGCGUGUGUGAAGAAGGCCUGCGGGUUGUAAAGCACUUUCGGUUGGGAGGACUGCUUCUAGCACUAAUAUUGUUGGAAGUUGACGUUACCUUCAGAAGAAGCACCGGCUAACUCCGUGCCAGCAGCCGCGGUAAUACGGAGGUGCAAGCGUUAAUCGGAAUUACUGGGCGUAAAGCGCGCGUAGGCGGCUAGAUCAGUCGGGUGUGAAAGCCCCGGGCUUAACCUGGGAACUGCAUCCGAUACUGUCUAGCUUGAGUACAGGAGAGGAGAGUGGAAUUCCACAUGUAGCGGUGAAAUGCGUAGAUAUGCGGAGGAACACCAAUGGCGAAGGCAGCUCUCUGGCCUGAUACUGACGCUGAGGUGCGAAAGCGUGGGGAGCAAACAGGAUUAGAUACCCGCGUAGUC
rnacentral:rRNA from 1 species